CCUGGAAUGCGGGUCAAUAAUGUGAAUUCUGGCCCUGACCGCCAGACACACAGCAAGCCUGAGUCAUCUGCCGUCACCAUGUCAGCCACACAAUCCUGAAGGGAAAGGCAAGAUCAACCCUUCCCUUUCUCCCCUGCUAUGGUCCUGUAUACAGGGCAGGAGGGGAAGGGAGGCAGUGUGUGCAUCUUUGCCUCUCCAGGGAAAGGGCAAGGUGUGGAGCUCUCACUAGCUAGACCCAUCAGAAACCACCCCUACCACCAGGGUUCCCUUGGGAAGCAUGAACUGCUUUCCUUGAAUUUCUUCAUGGAGUCCCAUCCCCCAAUAACAUUAGGAGGGGGUGCAUAAUUGCCUCACUGGAUGGAUGAUAAAACUGAGGCCACAGUGUCGUGACCUUCUGGAGGUCUCGUAGUGAACCAGUCACAGUCAUGACUAGACCCUGGGCCCCUGCACCCCCAACACCAGGCAGCCAACACAACCUAUGGGCCUAGCCCUAUGCCAGGUACAAUGGAGAAUAUGAAUAAGAAAAUAUACACCCUGUUCUCAAGAGGUUUGCAAAUUACUUGGGGAGACAAGAGUUGUCUUUUGAGGGCAGUGCCAAUUCAGGUUUCAGCUAAGAGACAUCAGUGGGAGCUAGAAUAUGGGGAAGGCUUCCUGGAGAGGAUGGAUGGCACUGGAGCUGGGCCUGAAUAGGUGGGACUUGCCCUAGAGAAGGAAGCUGCACAUUUCAGAGCUGGAAAGUAUCUUAGAAACCAUUUGUUCCAACUCCUCAUUUCACAUCAGUAUUAUAAAG
rnacentral:lncRNA from 1 species